rnacentral:lncRNA from 1 species
GGCCAAGAGACAGGGUAAAGGACAGCAGGCAGGGUGUUGAGAGAGGAAGUGAUUAAAUGUUGAAUGAGGGUCUAGCAGUUGUGAGGUCAAAGCCAGGGCCCCCUGGGAAGGCCAGACAUGAGGAUGCUGGCUGCUUCCCUGCCUGGAAGGAAGAAGGAUGUCCGGGUGUUCGGGAUGACACUGGUGUUUUUGGCCAUGGGGGAGAAGUGAAAUGUCUAAGGAGGAAGAGGGGUGGGAGAUGCAGGAUGUCCAUAUUGGCCUAUGUUGCAAAAAUAAAUGCACCUGGAAAUAAAAGCAUACAUAAAUAAGUACAGAUUAAAAAAAAAAUAACUCCACUUUCUUGCUGUAGUUUACCAAGGACGAGGGUAGUAUUAUAAGCUGAAGAGGGAAACAAAGAGUUUUUAGAGUCCAGCUGCUUUGGGGAAAUUACAAAUGAGGACUGAUGCUAUCUUUGUUUCUUGUUCAGUAUGAAAAAUACCUCGCCUGACAGUGGGCACCCUGCCACCAUUGGGAGAACCGUGAGAAUCCAAUUUGUUCUCAAAACACUGCCAUGUGGGAGACUUGCUUCUUUCUUUUUUUCUCUCUCUCAUUGAAUUUAUUGGUACAUUUAGGUAUACAGUACAGUUACAUUCAUCAUUGGGGAUCUUGUACCUUUACACAACAGGUCUUGGUUCCCCGUACCCCUGCCCUCCCUUCACCCAUGCCCUCCCUUCACUCCCUCCUUCCUUCACUAUUUACAAAUACUUUAUUUCCAUUUUCUUAUAUUUUUUUGACUUGCUUCUUUCUGAAUGGAGCAUCCCUUCUAUGAACAAGGAAAGGUGAGUGCGAUGAGUGUCCCAGUAUUUGCUGCCUGCUUCCUAUGGGUAGAGUCUCUGCCUAUGCAUAUGGGUGGGAUGGAAGAAGAGAGCUCCUGACCUUUUAGAGGUACUUGCCAGGAAUUAGGUUCCAUAAAUCAGAGCUAAGGGAGUAUGAAAAAUGCUAGUAGCCUGUCCCCAAAGAUAACAUUCCAUAUCCCUUCCUGGGAGCUGGGAGAAGAAAGAGUACCAUCUUCUUGGCCACACCUUCUCGCAUGGUGCUUACACUGCCAAGAGUUGGAAGUAGG